UUUACGCUUUGAAAACCACUGGAUCAAAGGAUAAAACAAAGUUGUUUUUGCUGCGACGCAGGAGCAGCAUGCUAAUCUUGACAUCGCUUUUAAAAACUCUCUUUCCUUUCCAUUCACGAGCAUCCCCGCGGCAGAAUAUAUGCGGGUGUUUGGUUCGAUUUUGGUUUGGGGUCUUGUUCCGCAGCCUCACUUUGAAAAACGAGGCCGCGAGAGACUAUAACUAAAUUUCAGUUUGACAGAUUGACAGACGAACAUUCGAACAUUGUGCCAUAUUUUGACAUGGGACUCGUGAUCUCUCGUACGGUGUUCGUGGUCAAUAAAUCAACAAGAAGAGUGCACAAGCAAGAUUUUUAGAGCAAAUUUCGAGCUUGCUGUGAAUAUAAGAACAAUAGAUGAUUGUUAAAACAAGUGCACGUUUUCUAACACGCCAGAUGAUGGAUAUCAAGAAAGAAACAAACCUUAGUUAUUACCUAUGUUUCUGGCAAACAUUUCGUCAUUCUCUAGACCAAGAUCGAAAAAGCGACAAAAAGCCAGACCAACGUGAAGCACAAGAAGUGCAACUAUAAUCUUCUGCACAUUUGCCAUGUUAUCUGAAAGGAGGAAACAUUAAAAUCGAUUGAUGAAAGGA